AACCACAUCACGUUGAAACGCUGGUUCCUUUACGAUCACCGAAGUUAAGCAAUGUUGAUCCGUGUCAGUACCGAGAUGGGUGACCGUUUGGGAACACUGCGUGCUGUAA